ACUACGGGAGGCAGCAGUGAGGAAUAUUGGUCAAUGGGCGGAAGCCUGAACCAGCCAAGUAGCGUGCAGGAUGACGGCCCUACGGGUUGUAAACUGCUUUUAUACGGGAAUAACGCGCCUUACGUGUAGGGCUUUGCAUGUACCGUAUGAAUAAGGACCGGCUAAUUCCGUGCCAGCAGCCGCGGUAAUACGGAAGGUCCGGGCGUUAUCCGGAUUUAUUGGGUUUAAAGGGAGCGUAGGCCGCAUGUCAAGCGUGCUGUGAAAUGUCCGGGCUCAACCCGGGCCUUGCAGCGCGAACUGGCGUGCUUGAGUCCGCGGCAAGCAGGCGGAAGUCGUCGUGUAGCGGUGAAAUGCUUAGAUAUGACGAAGAACCCCGAUUGCGAAGGCAGCUUGCUGCAGCGGAACUGACGCUGAUGCUCGAAAGCGCGGGUAUCGAACAGGAUUAGAUACCCCUGUAGUC
rnacentral:rRNA from 1 species